rnacentral:rRNA from 1 species
GUAAGGGAUAUUGCGCAAUGGGCGAAAGCCUGACGCAGCAACGCCGCGUGUCCGAGGAAGGCCUUCGGGUCGUAAAGGACUUUUCUGGGAGAAGAGGAAGGACGGUACCCCAGGAAGAAGUGUCGGCUAACUACGUGCCAGCAGCCGCGGUAAAACGUAGGACGCGAGCGUUAUCCGGAGUUACUGGGCGUAAAGGGCGGGUAGGCGGCUCAUCAAGUUGGGUGUGAAAUCUCCUGGCUAAACUGGGAGGGUGCAUUCGAGACUGAAGGGCUAGAGGGCAGCAGAGGGUCGUGGAAUUCCGGGUGGAGUGGUGAAAUGCGUAGAGAUCCGGAGGAACACCAGAGGCGAAAGCGGCGACCUGGGCUGCGACUGACGCUGAACCGCGAAAGCCAGGGGAGCGAACGGGAUUAGAAACCCCAGUAGUCC